rnacentral:rRNA from 1 species
AUUGGAGGGCAAGUCUGGUGCCAGCAGCCGCGGUAAUUCCAGCUCCAAGAGCGUAUAUUAAAGUUGUUGCAGUUAAAAAGCUCGUAGUUGAACCUUGGAGGCGCCGUGCGGUCCGCUUAGGCGAGCACUGGAGGCUGCGCCUCUUUCCUCCUCCUCUUAGCAAUAAGAGGAGGACUGUUACUUUGAGUAAAUGAGAGUGCUCAAUGCAGGCGCACCGCUUGAAUCUGUUAGCAUGGAAUAAUAGAAUAGGACGCAUGGUUCUAUUUUGUUGGUUUCUAGGACCCUCGUAAUGAUUAAUAGGGACGGUCGGGGGCAUCAGUAUUCAGUUGUCAGAGGUGAAAUUCAUGGAUUUACUGAAGACUAACUACUGCGAAAGCAUUUGCCAAGGACGUUUUCAUUAGUCAAGAACGAAAGUUAGGGGAUCGAAGAUGAUCAGAUACCGUCGUAGUCUUAACCAUAAACUAUGCCGACUAGGGAUCGG